rnacentral:rRNA from 1 species
AGCUUGUUGGCGGGGUAACGGCCCACCAAGGCGACGACGGGUAGCCGGCCUGAGAGGGCGACCGGCCACACUGGGACUGAGACACGGCCCAGACUCCUACGGGAGGCAGCAGUGGGGAAUAUUGCGCAAUGGGCGAAAGCCUGACGCAGCGACGCCGCGUGAGGGACGAAGGCCUUCGGGUUGUAAACCUCUUUCAGCAGGGAAGAAGCGAAAGUACGGUACCUGCAGAAGAAGCACCGGCUAACUACGUGCCAGCAGCCGCGGUAAUACGUAGGGUGCAAGCGUUGUCCGGAAUUAUUGGGCGUAAAGAGCUCGUAGGCGGUUUGUCGCGUCUGCUGUGAAAACUCGGGGCUUAACCCCGGGCCUGCAGUGGGUACGGGCAGACUAGAGUGCGGUAGGGGAGACUGGAAUUCCUGGUGUAGCGGUGAAAUGCGCAGAUAUCAGGAGGAGCACCGGUGGCGAAGGCGGGUCUCUGGGCCGUAACUGACGCUGAGGAGCGAAAGCAUGGGGAGCGAACAGGAUUAGAUACCCUGGUAGUCCAUGCCGUAAACGUUGGGCGCUAGGUGUGGGGCUCUUUCCACGAGUUCCGUGCCGCAGCAAACGCAUUAAGCGCCCCGCCUGGGGAGUACGGCCGCAAGGCUAAAACUCAAAGGAAUUGACGGGGGCCCGCACAAGCGGCGGAGCAUGCGGAUUAAUUCGAUGCAACGCGAAGAACCUUACCAAGGCUUGACAUGAACGGUAAUCCGGCAGAGAUGUCGGGUCCGUAAGGGCCGUUCACAGGUGGUGCAUGGUUGUCGUCAGCUCGUGUCGUGAGAUGUUGGGUUAAGUCCCGCAACGAGCGCAACCCUCGUUCUAUGUUGCCAGCACGUAAUGGUGGGGACUCAUAGGAGACUGCCGGGGCCAACUCGGAGGAAGGUGGGGAUGACGUCAAAUCAUCAUGCCCCUUAUGUCUUGGGCUUCACGCAUGCUACAAUGGCCAGUACAAAGGGCUGCGAGACCGUAAGGUGGAGCGAAUCCCAAAAAGCUGGUCUCAGUUCGGAUCGGGGUCUGCAACUCGACCCCGUGAAGUCGGAGUCGCUAGUAAUCGCAGAUCAGCAACGCUGCGGUGAAUACGUUCCCGGGCCUUGUACACACCGCCCGUCACGUCACGAAAGUCGGUAACACCCGAAGCCGGUGGCACAACCCUUGUGGAGGGAGCCGUCGAAGGUGGGACUGGCGAUUGGGACGAAGUCGAAACAAGGUGGCCGUACCGGAAGGUGCGGCUG